rnacentral:rRNA from 1 species
UACCAGCACCCCCGAGUGGUCGGGACGUUUAUUGGGCCUAAAGCAUCCGUAGCCGGUUCUACAAGUCUUCCGUUAAAUCCACCUGCUUAACAGAUGGGCUGCGGAAGAUACUAUGGAGCUAGGAGGCGGGAGAGGCAAGCGGUACUCGAUGGGUAGGGGUAAAAUCCGUUGAUCCAUUGAAGACCACCAGUGGCGAAGGCGGCUUGCCAGAACGCGCUCGACGGUGAGGGAUGAAAGCUGGGGGGAGCAAACCGG